GUGCUUGCUUUGACAGCACAUACACUAAAAAAUUGGAAUGAUACAGAGAAGAUUAGCAUGGCCCCUGUGCAAGGAUGACAUGCAAAUUCAUGAAGCAUUCCAU
rnacentral:snRNA from 1 species